rnacentral:rRNA from 1 species
GGCGCGGGGUACGGGCGGACUGGAGUGCGGUAGGGGAGACUGGAAUUCCCGGUGUAACGGUGGAAUGUGUAGAUAUCGGGAAGAACACCGAUGGCGAAGGCAGGUCUCUGGGCCGUCACUGACGCUGAGGAGCGAAAGCGUGGGGAGCGAACAGGAUUAGAUACCCUGGUAGUCCACGCCGUAAACGGUGGAUGCUGGAUGUGGGGCCCGUUCCACGGGUUCCGUGUCGGAGCUAACGCGUUAAGCAUCCCGCCUGGGGAGUACGGCCGCAAGGCUAAAACUCAAAGAAAUUGACGGGGGCCCGCACAAGCGGCGGAGCAUGCGGAUUAAUUCGAUGCAACGCGAAGAACCUUACCUGGGCUUGACAUGUGCCGGACGGCCGCGGAGACGCGGCUUCCCUUCGGGGCCGGUUCACAGGUGGUGCAUGGUCGUCGUCAGCUCGUGUCGUGAGAUGUUGGGUCAAGUCCCGCAACGAGCGCAACCCUCGCCUCGUGUUGCCAGCACGUUAUGGUGGGAACUCACGGGGGACCGCCGGGGUUAACCCGGAGGAAGGUGGGGAUGACGUCAGAUCAUCAUGCCCCUUACGUCCAGGGCUUCACGCAUGCUACAAUGGCCGGUACAGCGGGAUGCGACAUGGUG